rnacentral:piRNA from 1 species
UGUUGGUUGCCAUUUUUCCUAAUGAAAGU